UUUGAUCAUGGCUCAGAACGUACGCUGGCGGCACGCCUAACACAUGCAAGUCGAACGAAGUAGCAAUACUUAGUGGCAGACGGGUGAGUAACAUGUGGGUAUCUGCCCUUUGGCCUGGAAUAACACGAGGAAACUUGUGCUAAUACCGGAUAAGUCUUUACGGAGAAAGCUUUAUGCACCAUUGGAUGAGCCCGCACUUGAUUAGUUUGUUGGUGGGGUAAUGGCCUACCAAGACUGUGAUCAAUAGCUGAUUUGAGAGGAUGAUCAGCCACAUUGGGACUGAGACACGGCCCAAACUCCUACGGGAGGCAGCAGUGGGGAAUCUUGCACAAUGGAGGAAACUCUGAUGCAGCGAUGCCGCGUGAGUGAAGAAGGCCCUUGGGUUGUAAAGCUCUUUCGUCGGGGAAGAAAAUGACUGUACCCGAAUAAGAAGGUCCGGCUAACUUCGUGCCAGCAGCCGCGGUAAUACGAAGGGACCUAGCGUAGUUCGGAAUUACUGGGCUUAAAGAGUUCGUAGGUGGUUGAAAAAGUUGGUGGUGAAAUCCCAGAGCUUAACUCUGGAACUGCCAUCAAAACUUUUCAGCUAGAGUAUGAUAGAGGAAAGCAGAAUUUCUAGUGUAGAGGUGAAAUUCGUAGAUAUUAGAAAGAAUACCAAUUGCGAAGGCAGCUUUCUGGAUCAUUACUGACACUGAGGAACGAAAGCAUGGGUAGCGAAGAGGAUUAGAUACCCUCGUAGUCCAUGCCGUAAACGAUGUGUGUUAGACGUUGGAAAUUUAUUUUCAGUGUCGCAGCGAAAGCAAUAAACACACCGCCUGGGGAGUACGACCGCAAGGUUAAAACUCAAAUGAAUUGACGGGGACCCGCACAAGUAGUGGAGCAUGUGGUUUAAUUCGAAGAUACGCGCAGAACCUUACCAACACUUGACAUGUUCGUCGCGACUCUAAGAGAUUAGAGUUUUCGGUUCGGCCGGACGAAACACAGGUGCUGCAUGGCUGUCGUCAGCUCGUGUCGUGAGAUGUUGGGUUAAGUCCCGCAACGAGCGCAACCCUCACUUUUAGUUGCCAUCAUUAAGUUGGGCACUCUGAAAGAACUGCCAGUGAUAAGCUGGAGGAAGGUGGGGAUGACGUCAAGUCCUCAUGGCCCUUACGUGUUGGGCUACACACGUGCUACAAUGGUAUCUACAACAGGAAGCAAGACUGCGAAGUUAAGCAAAUCCCUAAAAGAUACCUCAGUUCGGAUUGCACUCUGCAACUCGAGUGCAUGAAGCUGGAAUUACUAGUAAUCGUGGAUCAGCGUGCCACGGUGAAUGCGUUCCCGGGUCUUGUACACACCGCCCGUCACACCAUGGGAGUUGGUUCUACCUUAAGGCAAGGUUUCAAACCCUUGACCACGGUAUAGUCAGCGACUGGGGUGAAGUCAUAACAAGGUAACCGUA
rnacentral:rRNA from 1 species